rnacentral:lncRNA from 1 species
CGGGUACGGGGGUGCGCGGUACGGGGAUACGGGAAUUCGGCAAAUCUAAAAUUAUGGGGAUUCAGGUGCGGGGGGAUUCGGCAAAUAUUAAUAUAUUAAAAAUAUAUUUUAUACAUGUAUUUGAAGAGUUAUAUACAUAUUUAAACCAAAUAAUUGAAUAAAUAAGUUCAAUAUCCUUAACAAUAUACAAUAUAAUUAUUUAAUAACACAAUUAUCACAUUAUAAGGUAGUUAAGUGAUAGAGUAUUCAACUAAUCAUAGAAUUAAUCAUAUAAAAAGAAUCCCCAAGAAUCCCCGAGUAUCGAAGAAUCCCCAAGAAUCGAGUGCGCGGUGCGGCGGGUGAGUGAAGUAUCCCUGCUUUCUAG